UUCAUCAGGCAAAGAUGAGUUACCUUUGUUUCGUAUUAGGAAAAGGGAACCCGGUGAAAAUCCGGGACUAUCCUCGUAGCUGUAAGUUUCUUUAAAUGUCGCACAAUCUUUGCCACUGACUUAUAAAGAGUUGGGAAGGCGUGUUACACGGAACAAGUCAGAAGACCUGCCUUAUACAUUUAUAUUUU
rnacentral:ncRNA from 2 species